rnacentral:rRNA from 1 species
GACGAACGCUGGCGGCGUGCUUAACACAUGCAAGUCGAACGGAAAGGCCCUGCUUUCGUGGGGUGAUCGAGUGGCGAACGGGUGAGUAACACGUGAGUAACCUGCUCUUGACUUUGGGAUAACUUCAGGAAACUGGGGCUAAUAUCGGACAGGAGCUCCUGUUGCAUGGAGGGGGUUGGAAAGUCUCGGCGGUUGGGGAUGGAUUCGCGGCUUAUCAGCUUGUUGGUGGGGUAGUGGCUUACCGAGGCUUUGACGGGUAGCCGGCCUGGGAGGGUGACCGGCCACAAUGGGACUGAGAGACGGCCCAGACUCCUACGGGGGGCAGCGGUGGGGAAUAUUGCACAAUGGUCGGAAGCCUGAGGCAGCAACGCCGCGUGCGGGAUGACGGCCUUCGGGUUAUAAACCGCUUUCGCCUGUGACGAAGCGUGAGUGACGGUAAUGGGUAAAGAAGCACCGGCUAACUACGUG